UCCUCCUCCUCCUCAUCCUUUGCCGUCGCCCACUCUGCCCCAACCGCCUCCCUCCAUCUUCCCGCCCCCACCUUCGCCGUAGCCCCCCCGCGACCGGCGUCUGCCCCUGCCUCUUCCUUUCCCCUCGUCGUAGCCGUCUUACCCCUUCCUUCCUGCGCCGGCGUUUUCCCUUCUCCUCCCUACGUCGGCGUCUUCUUUCAUUGUAUCAUCCUUUCACCCCCGCAGCGUCUUCUCCCCCCUUCGCUUCGCUGCAGCCGCUUGAUAAGACCCUAAGGUUUUAUCAGGGAAAAAAUUGGGAGAAAAGGGGACGAUCACUUCGAGAUGAUCGGCCUCCUUGAUCACUUCGAGGGGAUCGUCGACGGGAACUUGUCUUCGUGCCCGGCACCCAGUGUGCAGCUGUUUGUUCAACAUUCUAAAGUUUUUGUUUUUCUCAUUUAUCUCUUUUCUCUUAUGCACGCAAAGUGUUCGCUGAAUGGCUUUUAAAGCUUUUCUUUUUGUGGGACGUCGGGACUUGUCCGUUGUUUAUUCUUCGAACUAAUCAACUUUUUCUUAUGCACGCAAGGUGUUCGCUGACCUUUGCGGACACAUAUCACAAGGGCACGUCAUGACUUUGGCAAUCCCAAUUAAGUCCAAGAAGUUGACGCAACGGCGCUUUGCGACUUAGGCAACUCAAGCCAAAUUUGUGUCUUGGCCGCAAGGGUGCCUCACGACUUAGGCAAUUCCAGUUAAGUCCGUGACAAGGCGACGGUGAAGAAGGAGGCAACGAGGGUCACGGUUGGGAUGUGUUGGCCGGGAGCAGUGGCGGUGGCGGUUGCUGGCCGAAGAUGCAAGGCUGACCCUGUUUUGGUCGCCGCGAGGAGGAGAGGUCGAGCGGCUGCGGUUGCGAUUGCGACCCAAGGGGGGGCGGGCGACGGUGGAGAAGGAGGCAGCGAGGUUCACGACUGGGAGGUGGGCGACGGUCAUCGUUGGCCGGGAACUUGCUGUGGUGGAGAGGGGAAAGAGGGAUGCUCUGUUUCUAUCGCACCACAGCAGGAGCCACUGGCGAUGUCGAAGGAUCGCGAGCGGUUGAGGAGAAGGCUGGCAACGGUGGUGGCUCGGGUGGGAGGUGACGGGCGACGGUGGACUCUGGCCGGGGAGCGGGGCUGUGGUGGGAUGGGACAUUGGCAGCGUCGUCUCCUGGCAGCGGUGGUGGCUUGGGUGGGAGGCAACAGGCGAUGGUGGACUCCGGCCGGGAAGCAGGGCGGUGGUGGUAGCGGCGGUGGGGUUGGUUGGAAGUAGGGAAAGUAUGAGCCCUUUCCACCAGCGACAGUGGUGGAGGAGAGGGGAAGCAGGGGUUCUCGGUUGUGCGUGGCUGCGCCCCCUUUUUUUUUUUUUAUGAUAACUACAACGAGGACUCCGAGGAUCGCUGCUCUGAUACCAAAUGAUAAGACCCUAGGGUUUUAUUAUGGAAAAAAAGGGAGAAAAGGGGAUGAUCACUUCGAGGGGAUCGACCUCCUAGGGUUUGUCAAAAGACUUAAUAAUAUUUCAUUGUCUCCGAAAAGAAACGAUUACAUCAUUAUUUAUAGAGUUCCACUUAGAAUCCAUCACGACUUGGACUCUUAAUAAUAAAUAAAUAUUAAAUAAAUUUCUAUCCGAUUCUAACUGAAUUAAACAUACUCAAUAAACAUUAUUCAAAAGUUUAGAAAAUAAAAAGGAUCCUAACAUCGCCCCAGCAACCCAACCGACAUUGACAACCAUUCUAACCCGUACCUCCUCCUCCUCCUCGGAUCCUUCAUCCUUGACCCCCUCCCAACUGACAACAACCCCCUCUUCAUCCUCCUCCUUCUAUGUAAAUUGUUUUAUUAAUAUAGAUUUGAACAAGUAUUAUUUGGUCCUUUAAAUGAUUACCAUGUUUCUUUUUUUGUUUUAGCGAUUAUAUCUAUUAAUCAUGAUAUAUACUUUUAAAAUUUUAAGAAGCAUCUCUCUUCACUUGGGCCAGCGCCUAGCCAAGCACCUAGCAUCUCAGGCGUUUUGACACUUUGGCGUCGUUUAGUGUCUCUCACCCGCGACCACACUGCUAUAGCACAACUUGGUUCACUUGUUUGGUUCCAUUUAAUUAUUCAGACCCAUGCAUGUUGCCACACUUGGUUGAUGUUAGUUUUCAUGCUUGGUCCUUUAUGUGCAUGUUUGAAUUCAUCUGAACCAAAUUGAGCACAUCACAGCUCCACAAAAAAAUCAUUGGAUUUGAGCUGCAUUGGUUAUAUAUGUAUUCUAAAAAUGUUAUGAGAUUCAAGUGAGAUUGUCUUGAUUCAAUUUUAACCUAAACAUGUUUCAGCUGCAUUCCCUCGCAACAAGUUCUAUGCAUAAACUAACCUGUCCAUGAGUCCCUCAUGCAUAAUGUCUGCCUGCAUAUACAUGUUUGAUUGCAUGCCAUUAUCUUAUUGUAUCAAUCUUUUGAUCCUAUUAUUAUUUUUUUUGUUGCUUACCACAUAAGUCGGUUGGUUCUAAAAUGGUUAUGAAUGGCAAAGAAGUUUGUAAUAUGACUUUUGUUUAUCGUUACCUAUUUGUUGCUCAGACAUAAUAAUAUAUGUGCAAUUUAGUUAUCAGAUAGAACCACACACAUGGGAACAUUGCACAUAUUUCUUGUCUGUUUUUGGCUCUUGUGGUAACUUCAUCACAUAAGUGCUGAUUCCGGUGUCUUGCAUUGAACCACAGUAAUGAAUUGCUGGACCUCCUUUCGCAUGUAUUUACUAAUUAUGCAUACAGAAUGCAUUUAUAUAUUUGAUUUUGUGGCUAACGGAUUGUCUAUAUUAAUGGGAUUUGGAGAGGGCAGUUAGGUACUAGAAGCUAUUAGGAGCUGUCACUGUAUCUUCAUGCUAUCCUCUUCACAUCGAAGCUCUCAUUUUUCUUUUUUGUUGUUGUACAUGCCUCUGGAUCGUUCAUCAAUCAAUGUGAUUUUGUAUUUUGCUGUGCUUAGAUUUUAUUUUUCAUUUUUUUCUUCUUUUCAUUUCUUUGCUAUGAGAUGGUAGAUUUGUGCCUUGGCGGUCAUUAUAAACUGUGGUUUCAUUUUACAUUUUGAAACAUUAGUCAUUUUGGCAUCCAAAAUAAUUUUAUGUGACAUUUCAAAUUUCCUAUGACAUCAAUUACUUUGUUUUGUUCUUGAACAUUGGUACAGUGACAUGGUAUAAGUGAUCUUUUAUACAUGCUCAUUUGGUGAUCAUUGUAACUCGUAAAGGAGGUCAUGAAAAUAAUUUUGACUAAUAUUAGUUUAAAUUUACUUUACUUGAUUGUGGCCCAGAUAAUGUAAUCAAAUGUGGUGCUCGGCAUUUGAAAAUUUUCUUAUUAUACAAUAUCUCCAAUGAUGCGUAUUUAGUGACAACUGAAUUAAUUUCUGGCUCUUGGAUAUGAGCUGGUUCAGAACUGACCUUAGAUGGUGAAUUUUUCAAUCUCAGAUGUUCAAUGUUCUGAAAAUGCAUGCAUGUCAUUUACGAGCAUUUACUUUGGAGAAACAGCAAGCAACAACAUGCAAGUUAAAUACUGUUUAUUAAGAUGGACAGCAGGAGAAGUGCUGCUUUUAGAGAUAGAAAAGAGAAUUGGAAAGUUUUUUGACAAAAAAAAAGCUUGGAAAAGAUUGAACAAGAGAUAGCAGAGACUGUAAUUGUGUUACUGGCCAAAGAAAAUUAUAUUCAUUUGUCAAUAGAAUCAUGCAUACGUCUGGUGAUUCCUCAUGUGAAGGAUUUUAUUUAUAAAUAUAUCUGAGAUAGUACUAAUCUGAUUAGGUUUCCCAAAAGAAGCCCUCUAAACAGCAGCUGCUUGCUUUGAUAAAAGUGUUUGGUUCAUCAAACCUCUUAGUUUCCUUAUUAUGCCUACCACCACAAUUUCCUUUUCAAACACACCAAAACAUUUCAACAAUCAUCAAAACCCCAAAUGGUUCAAAGGACUUGACUCUCACUAAAAGUACAAGCUGAGCAAACAAUUAGAAUGUGACUUGAUUUCCAAACCCCAAAGUAGACCCAAAAUUUCAAUGUGUUUGGUUAGGUGUAACCUUACAUCUUUAUGUCGGCAUAGUGUGGUCUCCUCUGCAGGCUGAUAACAACUCUCUUGGCAACUUGAUACAUGUUUGUACCUCAAAAGAUAUUGGUGUUCUUAUAUUUGAAUUACCAUUCCUGUAUUUCUACUAGUAGCAAUAGAAAAAUAUUUGAAUUUUCUUAAUUCAACCACAGAUGUUUUCUUACACAGAAUUCAUUGAUGCAAAGGAUGCAUAUAGCGGAUAUGACUUUUAUUAUUGUUGUGCUUGUUUGCACUUGCUCGUUUUAUUGGCAAAUUCUCACAGAUCUAGGUUAUGUUGGUGAAACUUCUCAGUAAGAAAUAUUUCUUCCUUAUUAAUGACAUCAAGGUAUUUUUAAUACUGUAGCUGAAGCUAUUUGCACGAGCUGUCUUUCUCUAAAAUUAAGUUCCUUUAUCAACAUUGAACCAAAUAAACUAGUAGCCUUUCUUGAUCGAGGCACCUUUCUUACCUCUUGGUUCAUUUUAUGGAAAAUUUGUUGCCUUUCUCAGGUCUUUCAGCUAAGUUGCAAUUUUUUGUCUAGUUGUAUUAACAAUGUCUUUUCUACUUACCAGUCUUUCUAGUUGUAGUAGGAAUUAGUGAUCUCUGAAAGAAAUGGCUAAUGGAAACUGAAUGCAGGUGGGUUAACGUGAGUGGUAGACGAAUGUCCUCUGAUCAGAUGAUUAGUUGAAAGUUUUCAACUUCCUUUUGGUUGGAAGCAGAUACAGAAAAUAUAUUAGUUUGGGUGCCCUUGAUUCGAGGUAGAAGAGGAAGCUGAACAUAGAGCAGGCAGCAAUAAGACUACUUUUCUUGUAUUUUUCUGCAAACAGUACGUGAUACUGCUUCAAAAGAUCAUGUUUUUGGUGCAAAAGAGGCUCUUUCGCUGUCUCCCAAGUAACAAGUCCACUAUCCAUCUUUCCUCCCAUCAACUUUGCAAUCUGUUUAACUUCUCCACUGCUAAAGACCAAAGUUCAGAGCAUAGUUCCAACUUUAUAGUGGUCGACUCCCUUCAUUCAUGUGAACUUUCCUCAGAGAAGGCUGCAAAAAAAGCCAAGUAUCACACCUGUCACAAAAAUUCUUCGAGUCUUUCCAUUGAGUUCUUUAAGCAGAGCGGUUGGAGUGAUGCACAAGUCAUGAAACUUAUCCAGAGGUCACCGCUGUUGCUGCGUACUAAGGUAGAGACUGUCCUGAAGCCCAGAAUGAGAUCUUUGAAGGACAUGGGAUUUUCUGACACUGAAAUAGUUCAGCUGGUUUCUUCAUGUCCAUCUGUACUACUUAUACGUGAUAUCCAACCAAAGAUCAACUUCUGGAGGUCACUACUUUGUUCUAAUGAGAGGUUACUGAAAGCCUCUAGGAGGAACUUGUUUCUACUUACUUCUAGCUUGGCUCGGAAGAUAAAACCUAAUAUAUCUCUCUUAAGGGAAUGUGGCAUCAGUGACAAACUCAUCGCGAAUAUGGUGGUGACAGGGCCAGCCAUUUUGGGUCGAUCAAACAAAUGUAUGAAGGAAGCUAUCAAAUAUGUUGAGGAGUUGGGUGUGCCACGUAACUGUAGAAUGUUCCCUUAUGCACUUAAAAUAGUCGCUGGCAUGAGCCGAUCCAGGUUUGAUGCUACCUUUGCAACCCUGAUGAACUUUGGGUUCUCCCAGUCAGACAUCAUUGAUGUAUUCAGGAAGCAACCAACCGUUUGGGUUUUCUCAAAGAAGAACAUUUGUGACAAGAUGACUUUCCUGAUGAAGGAAGCUGGUUGUGAGCUGACAUAUAUCAUUUCCCAUCCUGCGAUUCUUAUAUACAGCUUGGAGAAGAGGUUGAAACCUCGAUAUGAAAUUCUGAAUUUUCUUGAGCAGAAUAAAUUGCUGGAUAAAGUAAAUGGCCUGAUAACCAUGAUAAUGCUAUCGGAAAAGAAGUUCCGAAAUAAAUUUCUUUUCCUGCUUCGCGAGGAGAAAUAUAUUGCUCUAUAUGAUUCCUAUGUUGCUGCUGUGCAUGGAAAGCGCCAUGUUGUUGUGGAAAAUUAGGAUUGCAAGUGCUUCCUUAGACAAAGUGUGAACCUAUUGCAUACUGACUGUAUUAUUUAAUCAUGUAAAAUUUGUGACAAUUUAAAUUCUCUAAGAGUUACUUCUUACGGUAGAACGUCCAUGUUGAUUUUGAGAUUUCUUUUCUCUUUAUUCUUCGGUACAACAAAAGAUACUGAUUCUUUAAUGCAUAAAUAUAGAGAACCAAGGGGGAGAAGUCAUUAUUUAAGAAAGAAACAAAGGUAACUAAAAUAUUUCAGAUCUGUCGGUUGGUCAGUGUCCACUUCAUUGAGAGCGAGUUAAUUAGGAGAGUAUGAUUUGAAGAUAUCCUCCAACCCUUAUAAAUAUGCAUGUGAUCAACGUGCUCUAUUGUGAGAUUUAUUAUUAUAGUAUCAACUGUCACCUCUCUCUCUGUCUCUCUCUCUCAGCCCGUGACUGCAUGCAUCCCAAUAUUCGUUCUAGUCAUAUCCAGACUCACACAUUAUGAAUUUAAGAGCCAUCGGUCCAACUCAAGCUUGCUUCUUAAUGUUCAAUUUAAUGCACUAAGCAAUAUAUAUGCUUUAAGGUAACAACACUCUCUCGAGUGAAGUGAACGGGCCUCGGCGCCCACCUGAUUCAAAUCAGAGAGGACUAUAUUGGAUCUGAGCCCAACAUAAGUCACUGGAUCUGGUUCGAUGGAACCAAAUGAAGGACUCUCCUCUCUCACACACAACUAUAUCGAUGGCCACGCGUGCAAUGAGAAGACUCGUGGAAACCUAAUCAGCCACCGGCGGCACCGUCUUCCUCUCCAUCGGCGAAUGGCGGCGGCAGCAAUGUCUUCCUCAGCGGGCUCAUCGUUGGUAUCUUUCUCCUCCUCCUCCUCCUCCUUUGCCGUCGCCCACUCUGCCCCAACCGCCUCCCUCCAUCUUCCCGCCCACACAUUCGCCGCCAGCGUCCCCUCUUCUUCGCCUCGUCGUAGCCGUCUUCCCCCUUCCUCCCUGCGCCGGCGUUUUCCCUUCUCCUCCCUACGUCGGCGUCUUCUUUCAUUGUAUCAUCCUUUCACCCCCGCGGCCAGCGUCUUCUCCCCCCUUCGCUUCGCUGCAGCCGCCCCAGCAACCCAACCGACAAAGACAGCCACCUCAACCCACAGCAACCUUCUCCCGUACCUCCUCCUCCCUCUCCUUCUCCUCGGAUCCUUCAUCCUUGCCCCCCUCCCAACUGACAGCAACCCCUUCUUCAUCCUUCUCCUUCUACGUAAAUUGUUUU
rnacentral:lncRNA from 1 species